rnacentral:rRNA from 1 species
UACGAAGGGGGCUAGCGUUGCUCGGAAUCACUGGGCGUAAAGCGCACGUAGGCGGCUUACUAAGUCAGGGGUGAAAUCCUGGAGCUCAACUCCAGAACUGCCUUUGAUACUGGUGAGCUUGAGUCCGGAAGAGGUGAGUGGAACUGCGAGUGUAGAGGUGAAAUUCGUAGAUAUUCGCAAGAACACCAGUGGCGAAGGCGGCUCACUGGUCCGGUACUGACGCUGAGGAGCGAAAGCAUGGGGAGCGAACAGG